GCCGGGCACGGUGGCGCGCGCCUGUAGUCCUAACUACUCGGGAGGCUGAGGCAGGAGGAUCACUUGAGUCCAGGAGUUCUGGGCUGCAGUGCGCUAUGCCGAUCGGGUGUCCGCACUAAGUUCGGCAUCAAUAUGGUGACCUCCCGGGAGCGGGGGACCACCAGGUUGCCUAAGGAGGGGUGAACCAGCCCAGGUUGGAAAUGGAGCAGGUCAGAACCUGGCUAACCUCACUCAGAAUGACGUUCUGCAAUUCCAUCCAUUUACCAGAGAAUGAUAACAUUUCGUU
rnacentral:SRP_RNA from 1 species